rnacentral:lncRNA from 1 species
UGUUUCUAUAUCAACACAAAAUGCUCAGGCUUAUCCAUUAUUAUGAAAUAGAGGCUAUGUUUAGAAAUGGUUCUUGACAUAUGCAAACUGAACACAGAAUUUAGAAGAAUACUCUGACAUUUUAAUCUCUGUAUUCCCAAGAGUGAAUGAGUUGCACCGUUUAUCCUGGUGAUGGGUGUGUCUUUUCCUCGACCCAAGUCAUUGGCAGCAAGGCACAAUAACCUCAAUGUCUAGACAUCCACUAAGUUUUCAUUCCGUGGAUGAACCUACUCGUUUGCUUUAUCCAUGGAGGAAGGCUUGUACAUGAGGCUCUAAGAAAGUCAACUAUGGAAAGACAUUUAUUAAUAUGUUUGGGGUUUCAUUGGCAAACAGUAGUAACUAGGCAAUUUAAAAGGUCUAGCAGUUUUCUGUCCUAUUGAUGUAAUGAGAGUAUCUGAGUAAAAUAUUAGACUCUAGUUCAUUUCUAGAAUGGCUUAUGUCAAGCCCCUGUACUCUCCUGACCCUGAACUGGAUAGGAUUAUUCACACUUGUCUGGUGUUUCAGUUUUUAAAAUGGCCUAAAAAAGAGAUCAGAUUCAGAUCUUUUUUAAAGGAUUUUGGAUUAAUUUUUAAAACACUAAUACUAAUUAUACUUUUCUUUGGGUAGUGACUCUCUUCUUAUACCUAAGAACAUAUUACACAUGUCAAAACCAUUGCAUUUUGACAUUGCGAAAACAUGCUUUGAACUCUUGAACUACUGUGAACAGAAUCACUGUUGUAAAGACCUUUUUGUGUAAGCUCGCUGGUAUUCUUAAGUCUGUAAAAAGAUGUCGGCUUCCACAGGCCCAAAUGAAUGUACAUAAGGCCUGUGAAAAAAUAAAUUGGGUUUUAAAAUAAGAACUGGGCGAUAAAUUGUAUCUAAAAUGCGCAGAUGGGAGUUGUAGUGUGUGGCUGUGUUUUCAUUGUUGAAGGUUGAACAGAGCUCCACAGAGUCAUGUAUGCCAUUCAGAUGUUUCCUGAAUUUUGGAUUUGUGAACAUAUGCAUUUUAUAGUAAUAUAUACUUAUAUUGUUAAGAGAUAGUCAUAUUUUAGAAAUUUAGUUAAGAACUCAGCGAUAGCCUUCAUACCAAAAGGUUUAACUUUGCCAACAGCAAGUCAUAAAAAGUAUUUAUUUUGAAGCUUUUUAAUACAAAUUGCAUAACUUCCCACCGCCUCCAGGUGUACAUACUUCUCUGCCUAAAUGUUAUAUUUUUAUGUAUGCAUUUUCAGAAAGCAUAUUGUUUUGGAAAGUGGCAAAGACAAUGAAUUAAGCACUCGAUGCACUUGUUUCUGUAAAGCAUAAAGAGCUCUAUUUUAAAUAAAAGAAAAAUGUGUCAU